rnacentral:rRNA from 1 species
UGGGGAAUAUUGGACAAUGGGCGAAAGCCUGAUCCAGCCAUGCCGCGUGUGUGAAGAAGGUCUUCGGAUUGUAAAGCACUUUAAGUUGGGAGGAAGGGCAUUAACCUAAUACGUUAGUGUUUUGACGUUACCGACAGAAUAAGCACCGGCUAACUCUGUGCCAGCAGCCGCGGUAAUACAGAGGGUGCAAGCGUUAAUCGGAAUUACUGGGCGUAAAGCGCGCGUAGUUGGUUUGUUAAGUUGGAUGUGAAAGCCCCGGGCUCAACCUGGGAACUGCAUCCAAAACUGGCAAGCUAGAGUACGGUAGAGGGUGGUGGAAUUUCCUGUGUAGCGGUGAAAUGCGUAGAUAUAGGAAGGAACACCAGUGGCGAAGGCGACCACCUGGACUGAUACUGACACUGAGGUGCGAAAGCGUGGGGAGCAAACA